rnacentral:rRNA from 1 species
AACGAACGCUGGCGGAAGGAAGAACACAGGCAAGUCGAACGAGACCUUCGGGUCUAGUGGCGCACGGGUGAGUAACGCGUGGGAACCUGCCCUUAGGUUCGGAAUAACUCCCCGAAAGGGGUGCUAAUACCGGAUAAUGUCUUCGGACCAAAGAUUUAUCGCCUUUGGAUGGGCCCGCGUUGGAUUAGCUAGUUGGUAGGGUAAAAGCCUACCAAGGCGACGAUCCAUAGCUGGUCUGAGAGGAUGAUCAGCCACACUGGGACUGAGACACGGCCCAGACUCCUACGGGAGGCAGCAGUGGGGAAUAUUGGACAAUGGGCGAAAGCCUGAUCCAGCAAUGCCGCGUGCGUGAUGCCGGCCUUAGGGUUGUAAAGCUCUUUUACCCGGGAUGAUAAUGACAGUACCGGGAGAAUAAGCUCCGGCUACCUCCGUC